GGAGAAGGGUAGCAUCAUAGUCUUAAGUGGGGUGGGUUCAAUACUCAUGUGUGGCAUUUUUUUUGCAUUUUAUUUCUUUUAGCUAUUUUAUUUUCUUUUAGCAUUUUCAUUUCUUUUAUGUUUAUGCCUUUAUUAUACUCAUAGUUUCAUUUGUUAAUAAUGCAAAUUUAUUUUCUUUUAAUUUCAUCAUUCAUUCAAAACCAUUUUUAAACUUAUAAAAAUCAUAUUUUUCUCGAUUUAAUAUCGAGCCCAUUUUCACACCCUUGUAAGUCGAUUGCUUUUUAAGCAUCGCCAUCAACCUCACAUAGCUUACUCUUGGGCUUUCUUACAAUGAGCCGGUU
rnacentral:lncRNA from 1 species